rnacentral:rRNA from 1 species
AUUGAACGCUGGCGGCAGGCCUAACACAUGCAAGUCGAGCGAGCGGCGGACGGGUGAGUAAUGUAUGGGGACUGCCCGAUGGAGGGGGAUAACUACUGGAAACGGUAGCUAAUACCGCAUACUAUCGGAUAACCCAUAUGGGAUUAGCUAGUAGGUGGGGUAAUGGCUCACCUAGGCGACGAUCCCUAGCUGGUCUGAGAGGAUGAUCAGCCACACUGGUACUGAGACACGGCCCAGACUCCUACGGAGGCAGCAGUGGGGAAUAUUGCACAAUGGGCGCAAGCCUGAUGCAGCCAUGCCGCGUGUAUGAAGAAGGCCCUAGGGUUGUAAAGUACUUUCAGCGGGGAGGCGUUACCCACAGAAGAAGCACCGGCGAACUCCGUGCCAGCCGCCGCGGUAAUUC